UUUCCGUAGGUGAACCUGCGGAAGGAUCAUUAAAGCGAUUAUGCCCUUCGUGGUAGAUCUCCCACCCUUUGUUUGUAUUACCUUUGUUGCUUUGGGAGGCCCGUCUUCGGACCACCGGCUUCGGCUGGUCAGUGCUUGCCAGAGGACCCAAAACUCUUAUUAUUAAUGUCGUCUGAGUACUAUAUAAUAGUUAAAACUUUCAACAACGGAUCUCUUGGUUCUG
rnacentral:misc_RNA from 1 species